rnacentral:rRNA from 1 species
AGUAAUGUCUGGGAAACUGCCUGAUGGAGGGGGAUAACUACUGGAAACGGUAGCUAAUACCGCAUAACGUCGCAAGACCAAAGAGGGGGACCUUCGGGCCUCUUGCCAUCGGAUGUGCCCAGAUGGGAUUAGCUAGUAGGUGGGGUAACGGCUCACCUAGGCGACGAUCCCUAGCUGGUCUGAGAGGAUGACCAGCCACACUGGAACUGAGACACGGUCCAGACUCCUACGGGAGGCAGCAGUGGGGAAUAUUGCACAAUGGGCGCAAGCCUGAUGCAGCCAUGCCGCGUGUAUGAAGAAGGCCUUCGGGUUGUAAAGUACUUUCAGCGGGGAGGAAGGGAGUAAAGUUAAUACCUUUGCUCAUUGACGUUACCCGCAGAAGAAGCACCGGCUAACUCCGUGCCAGCAGCCGCGGUAAUACGGAGGGUGCAAGCGUUAAUCGGAAUUACUGGGCGUAAAGCGCACGCAGGCGGUUUGUUAAGUCAGAUGUGAAAUCCCCGGGCUCAACCUGGGAACUGCAUCUGAUACUGGCAAGCUUGAGUCUCGUAGAGGGGGGUAGAUUCCAGGUGUAGCGGUGAAAUGCGUAGAGAUCUGGAGGAAUACNCGGUGGCGAAGGCGGCCCCCUGGACNGAAGACUGACGCUCAGGUGCGAAGCGUGGGGAGCA